ACUACGGGAGGCAGCAGUGGGGAAUAUUGCACAAUGGGGGAAACCCUGAUGCAGCGACGCCGCGUGAGUGAAGAAGUAUUUCGGUAUGUAAAGCUCUGUCAGCAGGGAAGAAAAUGACGGUACCUGACCAAGAAGCCCCGGCUAACUACGUGCCAUCAGCCGCGGUAAUACGUCGGGGGCAAGCGUGAACCGGAUUUACUGGGUGUAAAGGGAGCGUAGACGGCAGGGCAAGUCUGGAGUGAAAGGCGGGGGCUCACCCCCCGGACUGCUCGUGAAGCUGCCAGGCUGGAGUGCAGGAGAGGUAAGUGGAAUUCCUAGUGUAGCGGUGAACUGCGUAGAUAUUAGGAGGAACCCCAGUGGCG
rnacentral:rRNA from 1 species